CCAUUUGCAAGGAGUACAAUCAAGAAGUUAGAGCUGCAAUAUAAGUAGAGAGAGCUGCACGGGACUUGCUCAAAUCAUAGCGUCAGGAAAUGGAUUCAGUUUUAUCUACAAUGAACUGAUUAAACAAUGCAAUUUCUACUGGAGACAUAGAUGGCAAGGUUUAUGUUUAUUUGGGGAUGUUGUGUCUAUCAAACUUCAUGCUGGCAAUGUUCUCGGAAAUGAUGUUGCAGCUUCUGAAUUCUAUAAAGACAAUAUCAUUUUCAAUUACAGUGGAGGCCAUGGACAUGGUGGUAAUUCACAGGAUGCUUGGGAGCAUUUAGGUCCAAAUGAACUUUCAUACUAGCAUUGGGGGGAAGUAGUUGAAACUGAAAGCAGAGGUCAUCCAACUGAUACUAAUACAUGUUUGCCUUUAGUCAAGUACAAAACUGGGAAAUAUCAACAUGGAAGCAAUGAAUCAUGUGUUAUUUACCGGGUGGACUAUGACACUGGUGAGUCCUUCACAGAUCUUUCAUGCAAACAUCUUUACCAUCCUUAGUGCAUUAACAAUUGGUUGAAAAUAAACAAGGUUUGCCAUGUUUGCAAUACUGAGGUAUCUACUUCUGGGAGCAACUUAUAGGAGAAUUCUGUAGUUCUCCCACUUCCUUCGCUUCAAAUUGAAGAAAAAUUGUGCAAGUUGGGUAUACCCUUAUUUUAGUAGCAUUGCUUUGUCAGUGUGAUAAUCAUUGUGCUUUACUGUAUCAAGCUCCUACGUUUUAAAUGUAACUUUAACUUUUGGAUUCAGCUCUCUAAGGUUGUCUCUUUUUAUUUUUUAAAUGGAAUGACGGGCAUUAGU